AAGGAGACCCCUAGUGGUAACAGCUGUGUUCGAAUGUCAGUUAACGGAGCAGUUUGCCAGUCGGAGCUCCUUGCCCACGUCUGGGCUUCACUGUGGGGAAGAAUAAGGCUGAUUUGUGUCUUUCGUAGGGCAGGAAUUUCCCACCGUUAUAGAAAUGGAAAAAUGAAUUUCUUGAAAGUGUUCACAGGACUUCAAAAAUCUGACAUCAGAUACUGCUCUUGGAGAAGUAGGUACAUUUACAUGGAAUGGUGAUGAAAGCUAUAGAAUUAGUAGAUAUACAUACGUGGAACCAACUUCACCUGUGCAGCUGGAUCAAAGUCCAUUCAUUUCUCCUUCCUGCAAGCAUAAAGCCAACAAAUGCUUUGGCAGGUUUGUAAAGAAGAAAAGCAGAAUGCAUGAUACAGAAGGGUAAAGAGAGAAGCAAUGGAAGUGUAGCUACAGAUGAAAUACCUGGAUUGCGUGCACGUAAACAUCCCUCUCAGGAGGGACUUCAAUGCCAAAAGUGGAUGGAAGUGCAUCUGUAGAAACAACAAACUUCUUUGCUGAGGUUAGAGACACACAGAUGAUCCUCAAGGAAGGAAAGGUGCCCUAAGGCAGAAUUGGCAUGGGAACAAAAUGAGAAAGCACCAAGUAAUGGAGCAAGUGGUAUGUGCAAAGAAAUAGUGGCAAUAACUCAAACACACACAUGGCAGCACACUGGCUUUCAUCCUUUUGUAAUGUGCUCUAAAAAUCCCUAUGGAAGAACAUUCUAAGAAACAGCCAGAGAAAUCACAGAACAGUUGAGGAUGGAAGGCAUCUCUGUGUCCCUCAGGCCCAAGCCCUGCUCCAGCAGGAACACCCAGAGCAGGGUGCCCAGGGCCACAUCCAGGCAGCUUUGGAAGAUCCCUAAGGAGGAAAUCCCACAGCUUCUAGGCAGCCUGUGCCAGUGCUCCUGGUGGUCAGAGGGAACCUCCUGUGCGCCACUUUGUGUCCAGUGUCUCUUGUCUUGGUAGCGGGAACAAAACAUAAAUAGCCUAAAAACAAAUACAUGAGGGGGGAGGAAGAAAAAGCUUGAAUCUCUCUCCAUUCAUAUGCUUUGCAACAGGUUGUUGGAACAAGGCUGACUGAAAGCAUAAUUCAGGACAGUUAACUACCAGGUUUGCUGCCUUACAUCAACACCCACCAACACGACUGUGAUCAGAGAUGACGUUUGCCAUAGCUCUCAGUUAAGACCAGGUUCUACUACUGGCAGGAGCACAGAGUACUAAAGAAAUCAUUGAGGCUUAGGCUAGAAAUUAGAUUGACCCAUUUUGCUGAAAGUAAAUCCUUCAGUGAUUAAUAGCAGUUAUACAUUCACAAAAAACAAACAAACAAAUCUAAAAAAAGGCAGCAUGACAAAAAAGAUUUGUUCUGCCCUAUUACAUAACACUUUUAUUCAUCAUACUCAACAAAGCUAAACCUGUACAAGUUUGUACACAUUGCAUUGAAAGAACUGUUCACCAGCUAUAAGAAAAAAUGAACAAAACAUCAGAAACAUUAAACUUAUGGUCCCUUUUGAUUUUCUCUUUUCUCCUUUUUUGGGGGGUCAGUAUCAAUAUAUGAGUUUAAAGCUUUCCAAAGAUAGGAAAAAACACCUGGACAGCCAAAAUAUAGACUAUAGUGCCUCCUUUAGGGGAGGGGAAGGAAAAUCUGUGAUCGGUACCAAAUUUGUAUCUAAAUGCAAAAUUCAAGUUCCACUAUAUAGAAAUGUGAAAUUACAGCCAUUAGUAAAGAAUUAUACGGUUAAACAGUAAAGAUAAAUGGGAUCAAAAGUACAUAUACAGUUAAAGGACAUAGGUAAACAUACAUGACUGUUUAAUUCAAAAUCACAUUUUUACAUAGAAGAAAUAUUACAUUCCAAUCUACCGGUAUGGCUUUCUCCAUGAACAGGUGGGUGUUUCCAGAUUACAAACCCAAAACGUGGUUGCUUAACAACUGAGAAAAAUGUAGCUCUGAAACAGAGAAUUAAUGUAAAGAAAUUAAGAAUGAGACUAAAGCGAGGUUUAUAAUACCAGGAUAGACAUCACUGUGAUUUAGUUUUGGAAGACAUUUCACCUUCGCUUUUAUUAUUUGUCAUAGCUACGGCAGCAUAUUUCACUUGCGAACUUUCAUCGUAAGAUAUGGCAAAAAGGUGUCACUUCCUUAUUUGAGAGACUAAAAUGCACCUGAGCAAAGCUAAACUAAACUGUAAAGGCUAAUGAAAGCAUUCGGCUGGACUCAGUUUUGGCUCGUGGAUGUGCACAAAACAGAACAUAAAAAUAAAUAAACAGCUUUUGGCACUUAUCCACAGGAAGAUGACUUAAAAAAAAGAUAGCUAAGAAAAGCGACCAGCUCACAAUGAAACUGUACAAGCCAUUAGUUCACAUUUAAACAAUAAAUCUGAUUGCAGUUUAGAGCACAAAAAACAUAACUUAAAAUCCUAUUUUAUUCAAAUUUGAAAAACUAUAUUGAUUUUAAGUCGUUUAAAUACAUUCAUUCCCAGUCAAAGUUUUACAGUAACUGAUGAUUUUCCAUCACACACACAACCGAGUUAUAAAUCCCUGAAAUGUGGAUUUAUGAGAGGAAUACUGAUAAAACCUUAACAGAGAUACAAAUGAUACAUCACAUAGCAUCUUACACCUUAACUGUAAGUACUUGACCGUCUUGGAUGGUAGAUGCAUCACUCCUGCUGUCAGACACUAACAACACCAGCCUCUAAGACCAACUGGUUUAACUUGAAUUCAGAACAGCUUGCCAUUACCUAAAAAAGGUGUGGGUUUUUUUUUUCCCCCAACCACACUAGAAAAUGUUCAACUCCUACCUGUAUUUCAAAACUCCUGGAAAGAGAAUUUUCCAGUUAUAACUGGGUCUACAUAUACUAAGCUAGGAGAGUCACUGAAGUGAAUUUUAGAAAGUCAUUUCAGAAUCAGUGCCCUUGCAGAGAUUUAAUAUACAGCAGCGCUUCCCUAGAUCUAAUUGGUGUAUCUUUAUCCUGUGCAUCUCAGAAAUUCAAUCAGUGGCUUUUGGGACUCUUGAAGUUACUCUCAUUCUGGCACUGAGUUUCUGUAUGGAAGGGCGAUUUCCAAACGAAAGGCACUCUGUUAUGGGAGAAAUCAGAAUCAUCAACAAUGCAAACAGACAACCUGACACCUAUUUAAGAGAACUGCUGAAGUCUUCACAAGGUCUGAAAUUAAGUACUUUCCUUAAAAAAGGUGGAAAAAUAACCAGCUAUAGUGCACGUGUCUGCAUGCAUGGAUAUUAGCCACUGUACAAGCACAGUGACCUGCCAGUAUCUCAGCUUUUUCUUCAUUCCAAAGCUUUUUUGGCUUGGGCAGAACCAUAUUUCUGAGGCUCAGCUGCACUAUCAGGUGACUUGCAGAAAGG